rnacentral:rRNA from 1 species
UAGCGGAGGGUGCAAGCGUUUAUCCGGGAUUCACUGGGUUUAAAGGGUGCGUAGGCGGGCAGGUAAGUCAGUGGUGAAAAUCUUCGAGCUUAACUCGGAAACUGCCGUUGAUACUAUCUGUCUUGAAUAUUGUGGAGGUGAGCGGAAUAUGUCAUGUAGCGGUGAAAUGCUUAGAUAUGACAUAGAACACCCAUUGCGAAGGGCAGCUCACUACGCAAAAAUUGACGCUGAGGCACGAAAGCGUGGGGAUCAAACAGG